AGUCGAGCGGAUCUUCAUUAGCUUGCUUUUGAAGUCAGCGGCGGACGGGUGAGUAACACGUGGGCAACCUGCCUGUAAGACUGGGAUAACUUCGGGAAACCGGAGCUAAUACCGGAUAAUCCUUUCCCUCACAUGAGGGAAAGCUGAAAGACGGCUUCGGCUGGCCCUUUCCGAUGGGGCCCCCGCCCCAUUACUUAUUUGGGAAGGAACCGGUCCCCCAGGGCACCAAGCCUAACCCAACUGGAAAGGUGGACCGGCCCCCUGGGAACGGAACCCCGCCCCAAAUCCCACCGGAAGGCACCAUAAGGAAUCCUCCGCCAUGGAACAAAGUCCGAACGAACCACCCCCCCUGGACCAAGAAAGGUUUCCGGUCCUAAAGUUCCGGUGGCCAGGAAGAACCAGUAUUCGAAUUACUGGCCGGUCCUUGGCCGGUCCUGGACCAAAAGCCCCCGGUAACUACCUGGCCACCG
rnacentral:rRNA from 1 species